AGACAAGUCCGUAAGGGACUCCUGCCCUUAACCAAGAUGGAACCUUCCUGGCGUCAACACCCCUCGCCUUUCCUCUCUGCCUUUACACACCACGAGGGAAACCAGCGGGAAGGGUGGCCCCGCAACACCACUAACCGAUAGAUGGCGUACGUUGAUUGGACAGUGCCGGAAGGCCAGGAGAAGAAGGAAGGCUGUGAUUGGGCUUUUUUUUGGAGUGGCCUGUUUGAAAGGCUGAGGGUGAAGGAGCGACAGAUCUGAAAAUAGCCGGAGCUGAGGGGCCUCAGGGUCUACCCUGACUCGCUUUUCCCGGACGGUCUCCUAGGAGAGAGGCUGUGGCCAGCUGACGCGACUUCCUUCUGCUACUGAGGUGAGAAGUCUUAGGGCAGAUGCGGAUGUCCAGGGCUUCGAGAAAUUAUGAUGUAUUUCCAUAAAGUUGCACCAGUGUGCCUGCCUCUUCUGCUCCCCCUUCGCCCUUCUCCACCUCUUCUGCCUCUGCCACCCUUGAAACAGCAAGACCAACCCUUCCUCCUCUUCUUCCUCAGACUGCUCAACAUGAAGAUGAUGAUGAUGAAGAGUUUUAUGAUGAUCCACUUCCAC
rnacentral:lncRNA from 10 species